CGUGGUUGUUUGGGGGGUUUCCCUUUGUACAAGAGGUGGGAUUCACGGCAGACUGAAUGAGUGGGUUCUCUUGGGAGUUCUGCAUCCAUGCACUGUGGAGGCGCGUUUUCUGGUAGGGGCCUGUGGGGUGCAGUGGUUGCGGCUCCGGCCUGGCCGAUGGGUGGGGGCUCUUGGGGUCAUGUGUCUCAGUGGCGUUGCAGUCGUUCCGUGUCAUUGCUUUUGUCCUUCUUGGGGCAUCGUCCAUUGGGGUUGUGGAGUGCUGGUCGGGUCCUGGUGUUCUGUUGCACCGUCUGGCGGGGCUCUUUUCCAGGUUGUGUGUCGGUGCUCUGCUUUCUUGAUGAUCGGUCUUGUGGCUGCUGGGGUCUUGUGCGUCUUUGCACAUGCGGGUGGUCUCGGGCGG
rnacentral:lncRNA from 1 species